rnacentral:rRNA from 1 species
GGGUCAGUAGGUUGGUCGUGCCACCGGUACGUACUGGUCUCACUGAUUCCUCCUUCCUGAAGAACCGUAAUGCCAUUAAUAUGGUGUUGCGGGGAAACAGGACUGUUACUUUGAAAAAAUUAGAGUGUUUAAAGCAAGCUAACGCUUGAAUACAUUAGCAUGGAAUAAUGAAAUAGGACGAUCGAUCCUAUUUUGCUGGUUUCUAGGAUUGACGUA